rnacentral:rRNA from 1 species
GGCGUACGGGUGAGUAACGCGUGGGUAACCUACCCUUAAAUUUGGGAUAACUUCGCGAAAGCGGGGUUAAUACCGAAUAACAUUCCAACUUCUUUGGGAGUUAGAAUCAAAGGUGGCCUCUGUCUCAAGCUGCCGCUUAGAGAUGAGUCCGCGGCCCAUUAGCUAGUUGGUAGGGUAACUGCCUACCAAGGCGACGAUGGGUAGCUGGUCUGAGAGGAUGAUCAGCCACACUGGAACUGAGAUACGGUCCAGACUCCUACGGGAGGCAGCAGUGAGGAAUCUUGCGCAAUGGGGGAAACCCUGACGCAGUAACGCCGUGUGAGCGAUGAAGGCCUUCGGGUCGUAAAACUCUGUUUGGAGGGACGAAAAGUUGUUGGCUAAUACCCAAGUUUCUUGACGGUACCUCCAGAGGAAGCACCGGCUAACUCCGUGCCAGCAGCCGCGGUAAUACGGAGGGUGCAAGCGUUGUUCGGAAUUACUGGGCGUAAAGGGCGUGUAGGUGGCUCAUUAAGUCAGGUGUGAAAUCCUUCCGCUCAACGGGAGAAGUGCACUUGAAACUGAUUAGCUAGAGUACGAGAGAGGAAGGUGGAAUUCCUGGUGUAGAGGUGAAAUUCAUAGAUAUCGGGAAGAACACCGGUGGCGAAGGCGGCCUUCUGGCUCGAUACUGACACUGAGACGCGAAGCGUGGGGAGCAAACAGGAUUAGAUACCCUGCUAGUCCACGCCGUAAACGUUGGCACUAGUGUGGGAAGGUUUUUAUUCCUUCUUGCCGAAGCUACGCAUUAAGUGCCCGCCUGGGGAGUACGGUCGCAAGGC